AGCGAACGCUGGCGGCAUGCUUAACACAUGCAAGUCGCACGGGCAGAUUUCGGUCUGUCAGUGGCGGACGGGUGAGUAACGCGUAGGUAUCUGUCCUUGGGUGGGGGAUAACGCUGGGAAACUGGUGCUAAUACCGCAUGAUGACUGAGGUCCAAAGGCGCAAGUCGCCUGGGGAGGAGCCUGCGUCCGAUUAGCUUGUUGGUGGGGUAAUGGCCUACCAAGGCUGCGAUCGGUAGCUGGUCUGAGAGGAUGAUCAGCCACAUUGGGACU
rnacentral:rRNA from 1 species